rnacentral:rRNA from 1 species
UUCGUAGGCGGUGCGGCAAGUCGGGAGUGAAAUCUCUGGGCUUAACUCAGAGGCUGCUUCCGAAACUGCCGUGCUCGAGUGUGGGAGAGGCGCGUGGAAUUGCAGGUGUAGCGGUGAAAUGCGUAGAUAUCUGCAGGAACACCCGUGGCGAAAGCGGCGCGCUGGACCACAACUGACGCUGAGGAACGAAAGCUAGGGGAGCAAACAGGAUUAGAUACCCUGGUAGUCCUAGCCCUAAACGAUCAGGACUUGGGGUGGCGCCCGUUUGGGCGUCGUCCCGGAGCUAACGCGUUAAGUCCUGCACCUGGGGAGUACGGUCGCAAGACUAGAAA